UAAAGGAUUAAAGAGUAGACAACUCAUGAAAGUAUCUGUAAUAACACAUGUAAGAUAUUUUCUGGAAUAACCCUGUAGAGUUAUAUGCCUGACUGGUCUAUAUGUAUUGUCUUUGGGUCUAGAUAAAGGAUAUAUGUAUAAUGUAUUGUCUUUGAGUCUAGAUAAAGGAUAUAUGUAUUAUGUUUGUCUAUGGUUCUUAGGUUCAGUCUAUAUGUACUAUGUAUUGUCUAUGGUUCUUAGGUUCAGUCUAUAUGUAUUAUGUAUUGUCUAUGGUUCUUAGGUUCAGUCUAUAUGUAUUAUGUAUUGUCUAUGGUUCUUAGGUUCAGUCUAUAUUUAUUAUGUAUUGUCUAUGGUUCUUAGGUUCAGUCUAUAUGUAUUAUGUAUUGUCUAUGGUUCUUAGGUUCAGUCUAUAUGUAUUAUGUAUUGUCUAUGGUUCUUAGGUUCAGUCUAUAUGUAUUAUGUAUUGUCUAUGGUUCUUAGGUAGAGUCUAUAUGUAUUGUCUGUGGUUCUUAGGUAGAGUAUAUAUGUAUAGUCUAUGGUUCUUAGGUUUAGUUUAUAUGUAU